ensembl:lncRNA LINC02685 long intergenic non-protein coding RNA 2685
ACAGUGAACAGCAGCCCAGGCGAGCCCAGGGAGGCAAGAAAAUGAGGCUCCCCGUGAGGUCUAAUAAACACCUCUCGCCACACCCCAAACACAUAGACACGCAAUAGAGCCCAUAGGUCCUGAGUGAGUCCCCCUGGCCCACCCCAUUCAGCUGAGAUCUGACAACAUAUGUUUGGGGACAAACAGCCCCAGCAGCCAGGAGCAGGCCACAUCAUACAUAGUCAGCAUCAGCCAUGGUCCCCUCCCACUCUCCUGGGGGAAAAAGGUGCUUUACAGGCAGCGUGGCAUCCGAGCAUCCCCAUGGCGAUGCUGAGGUCAGACCUCACUGUGGUGAUCUCACGCUGGGGCCACCGGACUCAGGCCAGGCUGGGAGUAGGCUGUCUAGCCAUUGCUGGCUGUCAUUGUCACCAAGGGAAGGGGAGAAGCUGUGAAGAGUUGCUCUGGAAAAAACAAAUCUGCUCAUAGGACAAUGGGUCUGGGUGAACCUAUCCCGGCCCUCUUGGCUGCUGGGCCAGGGCCUGGUUUUUCACAGGGCACCAUUGAGACCACAGGAAGUGGCUUCCUGCCUCUGAAGACAGCACACAACUGCCCUAGAAAGCGCUCUUGUCACCCCUGCUGCUGGAGUGCAAUUGCACAAUCUCGGCUCAUUGCAAGCUCCGCCUCCCAGGUUCAAGUGAUUCUCCUGCCUCAGCCUCCCUAGUUGCUAAGACUACAGGGAACUAAGGGAAAAGGGUUCAGCCCAAAGCAGAAGGGACUGUGAUGAUCACAGUGACCUCCUGAGGCCAGCAUGGUGGUAGCAGCCAGAGACAGCAGCUGAGUGAGACCCUAAGGGAGGGAUGAGCCAGGCAGUGUGUGGUUGGAGUUCUCCCUACACAUCUCGUUUUCCUCACCUCCAGAUCACACACAUGCACACACACAUAUGCACCCACACACCCCUUACACACUCCGGCCCGAAGGUUUCUGCAGGACUCCUUCCUGGCACUCUCUCCAGUGCUGCCAGCGUCGCACCACACUGCAAGGCUUUGCAAACUUUCCUUCCAAAGUGAAGGAGACCCUCUGGCCAUCUGAGGCUCGGUCUGAAGCAACAGCCUCAGAGCGCAAUCUCAGGCAUGCAGGAAGUGCAGGAAGGCCACGUGCCACAUACGUUAUCUCACUUAAUCUCAUUAGCAGGAAAUGUCUUUAAAGUCUUAUGUUGGUGCUUAAAAAUUCCUGAGCAGUUUAGCCCUUAAUAAAGCCAGGCUUUUUAAAAUUUGAAA